rnacentral:rRNA from 1 species
CUAGUAACGGCGAGUGAAGCGGCAACAGCUCAAAUUUGAAAUCUGGCGUCUUUGGCGUCCGAGUUGUAAUUUGCAGAGGGCGCUUUGGCAUUGGCAGCGGUCCAAGUUCCUUGGAACAGGACGUCACAGAGGGUGAGAAUCCCGUACGUGGUCGCUAGCCUUUACCGUGUAAAGCCCCUUCGACGAGUCGAGUUGUUUGGGAAUGCAGCUCUAAAUGGGAGGUAAAUUUCUUCUAAAGCUAAAUACUGGCCAGAGACCGAUAGCGCACAAGUAGAGUGAUCGAAAGAUGAAAAGCACUUUGGAAAGAGAGUUAAAAAGCACGUGAAAUUGUUGAAAGGGAAGCGCUUGCAGCCAGACUUGCCUGUAGUUGCUCAUCCGGGUUUUUACCCGGUGCACUCUUCUACGGGCAGGCCAGCAUCAGUUUGGGCGGUUGGAUAAAGGUCUCUGUCAUGUACCUCCUCUCGGGGAGAACUUAUAGGGGAGACGACAUGCAACCAGCCCGGACUGAGGUCCGCGCAUCUGCUAGGAUGCUGCCGAAAUGGAUGUAAGCGGCCCGUCUUAAA